rnacentral:lncRNA from 1 species
CCCCUUUUUAUUAUUAUUAUUAUUAUUUUCAUUAAAUCAAAUUAAAAUCAUAUAAAUAAUAAUUAUAUUCAUAUAAAAAUAAUAAUAAUUAAUAAAAAGAAAAAAAAGAAAGGGUUGGGUGUUAUAUCCAUAACAGAAGCAUUAAAAAUAGACUAAGAUGUUUCCACUUCAACCCAAGCCUAUAUACUUGGCUUUUGGCCUAACUCCCCAAAACGAUGUCGUCUUGAAGAGAUUAAAUAAGAGUUCCCAGCCUGGCUCCUGAAAACAACACUGUUUUGAGGAGUUUAAUAAAGACUUCCCAGCUUCGACAACAAGCUUCCCCAUUUCUUCUUUGUCACUCUACAACACAAAAAAGGUUAUGAUAAGAUUAACACAAAACAGAUGCUGAAGGAGACCGACGCUGAAGGAGAGAAGAGAGAAGACAGGGAGAGAUCGACACAGAAGGAGACCAAAGUCAAGAAUAGAAGUCAUGAAAGCUGAAGCUAAAAGAUGUAUUAGCUUUUCUUCCUUUUUGGUUGUUCUUCAUUGACAGCAUUUGGCUUAAGGAAGGCAAAAGAUGCAAAGUUAAUGAAAAUCUUUGAAAAACAUUGGAAUCCAAGAGAGUAACAGGGAUAGACUCGAUCUCCUUCAAUGAUAAAAGGAGGUGAUCCGAGAGCUAAUGAAAAGGAUUCAAAGAAGACUAUUUAGAAAACUGAAAAGAGAGUGGAAA